rnacentral:ncRNA from 1 species
CACCUGGUUGAUCCUGCCAGUAGUCAUAUGCUUGUCUCAAAGAUUAAGCCAUGCAUGUCUAAGUAUAAGCUUUAAACGGCGAAACUGCGAAUGGCUCAUUAAAACAGUUAUAGUUUAUUUGGUGAUCGAUUACUAUUUGGAUAACCGUAGUAAUUCUAGAGCUAAUACAUGCGUCAAGGCCCGACUUCGGAAGGGCUGCGUUUAUUAGAUACAGAACCAACCUAGGCUCCGCCUAGUCCUUGUUGGUGAUUCAUAAUAACCCGGCGAAUCGCACGGCUUGUCCGGCGAUGGACCAUUCAAGUUUCUGACCUAUCAGCUAUGGACGGUAGGGUAUUGGCCUACCGUGGCGUU